GAGCAAUGAAGUUAACUGCGCCCUCGUGAUGGUAGGGUUCCAUCCCUCUCAACUAUCUAACGAUGAGAAACUGCGCACUGAGCUU
rfam:Gossypium raimondii chromosome 7, whole genome shotgun sequence.